CAACCUCAGAUGAGACAUGGCAGCCCACUGAAUUUAAAUGUAUUAGUCAGCAGAGGAAAAGAAAUUAAUAAGGAUUCCCUCAGUAAUGGGAAGUGAAAAGGGAAGAGCCCAGCACUGAAUCACUGCCCUGCAAUGGGGCACAGGACAUGUAGUGUACAGAAGCCCCCCUCCUCAGCAGUGCUUUUGGGGGACACAAGUCCUUGUGAUAGAGGCUGCAGACCACAGGCAGUGUGAGGCUGGUAGUAGACCCACAGUGUGCCAGGCCCAGGUCUUCUUAGAGUCAGGUUGCUUGGGAAUGCAGCCCAAAGCAGGUGGUAAACUCCAUCUAAGUCUAAAUACUGGCACAAGACUGAUAGCCAGCAUGUACAGUAAGGGAAAGUUGAAAAGAACUUUGAAGAGAGAGUUCAAGAGCACAUGAAACUAUUAAGAGGUAAAUGGUUGGGGCUUGCAGAGUCUGCUCAGAGCAUUCAACCUGGUGAGUUGAGGUCAGGUGGCACAGGUUCAGCGGAUCCCCACUUUUGCUCCCCUCUGUCCCCCAGGCGCCCAACCUCAGGGGUGGGCUCAGGCAAGACCGGCCGGCGCAGGGACUGAUGGUUGGCCAGCGGCUGGCCCUGGGUGGAUGUAGUAAAGCAGAAAGUAUCUGUGGAAGGUUUCAGGACAAGAAAGAACAACAGGCCAUUGGUACUGGAAGGAUGGCUUGAUGAUAAAGAAGAGCUGACCAUGGUAAACAACCUGAAGUGCGAGACAGGAGGACAUUUGCCUCCAUGCUGGAGAAGAUCAACCUGAUAUGGGAUGAAGAUAACAAUGGACAGCUGCAUAUCAAAGGAGAAAACUCAAUUAGCAGCAGUGGUGCAAGAAUGUCAGGGAAUUGCUUACCCUGCUCGAUUUUUCCUAUCUAAGCUUCUUGUUCUGUACCAAUAAACGAUUCCUGCCUCACCA
rnacentral:ncRNA from 1 species